GAACGCACCACUGGUGUUCGGGUUGUCAUGCCAAUGGCACUGCCCGGUAGCUAAGUGCGGAAAAGAUAAGUGCUGAAAGCAUCUAAGCACGAAACUUGCCCCGAGAUGAGUUCUCCCUGACUCCUUGAGAGUCCUGAAGGGACGUUGAAGACGACGACGUUGAUAGGCCGGGUGUGUAAGCGCAGCGAUGCGUUGAGCUAACCGGUACUAAUGACCCGUGAGGCUUAACCUUACAACGCCAGAGGCGUUU
rnacentral:rRNA from 1 species